GUUUGGGAAGCGGAGUCUGCAGCUGGCAGUGGCGACAGGUAGUCAGAAGUUAAGAUGAAAAGACAGCAGCAGCUCACUUUAACUGAUUUCUUUCUCAUGGGGAAGAAAAGAAAGAAAGGAAAUAGAUCAGAUGAAGUUCAGCUGGAAACUAACAGUGGUGACACUGGAGAGGGUGAUGCAGGGAGAGCUGCAGUGUUUGUACCUGAGAGUGUCCAGUCUCCAGAGAGGAUUCUUCAGUCCCUCUGACAGUAGCUUCACUCCUGAGUCUCCUGGAUUAUUGUAGCUCAGGUCCAGCUCUCUCAGAUGG